CACACACGCUGACCCUGACAGCUCCCUUGAGGAAACAGGAGGCUUAUCUGGGGGUCUCUCAGACUUAACAAUUGAAACUGCAGAUGAAAGGCUCGUGAGCCAGUGGACAGGCAACCAAAGCUGAUGCAAUGUCUGUUCAGAGGUCUGGGGUGCCUGCAGCAGCAACCCAUCAGCAGAUUGCAGAAGAUACAGAGGCUCCCUGCCCCUGGGGCCUGUCAUGCAGCAGCCCAUAGGUUGUCAUUGCCAAUCGGAAACCAUGCUGUUUUCUGGUGUCAGCGUAAAGAUGAAAAAGCUGCAGUGAAGAGAAGUUAGGAAAUCUGCCUGCUGCUGCUACUGCUGCUGCUAAGUCACGUCAGUCGUGUUCGACUCUGUGUGACCCCAUAGACGGCAGCCCUCCAGGCUCCCC